rnacentral:rRNA from 1 species
GUUGGCUUGGAAGCAGCCAUUCAUUUAAAGAGUGCGUAACAGCUCACUAGUCGAGCGGUCCUGCAUGGAUAAUACGCGGGCAUAAGCAUAUAACCGAAGCUAUGGGAUUGUAGAUGAUACAAUCGGUAGGAGAGCAUUCCAUUCAGCGUAGAAGCAGUAUCGUGAGGUAUUGUGGAGCGGAUGGAAAAGCAAAUGUAGGCAUAAGUAACGAUAAUGCGGGUGAGAACCCCGCACGCCGAAAGAUCAAGGAUUCCCCGGCAAUGUCAAUCAUCCGGGGGUAAGUCGGAUCCUAAGGGUAAGCCGAGUGGCGAUCCCGAUGGCAAACAGGUUAAUAUUCCUGUACUGAUCAUAACUGCGAUGCAGCGACGCAGAGGUGACACUGCUGCGUACUGACGGAAUAGUACGUUGAAACCCGUAUUCUUUGAUACCGGUAGUGAAGCACGCCGGUAGAGAUGAAAGGUGAUAGUACCGCAAUGCUUCGGUUGCGCGGAUAAUGCAGGUAAGCUGACUGCCAAGAAAACCUGCUAAGCUUCAGGUAAUGAUCAUCCGUACUGUAAACGGACACACGUGAUCAGGUAGAAAAUACUAAGGCGCUCGAGAGAUUCAUGGUUAAGGAACUAGGCAAAAUGGUCCUGUAACUUCGGGAUAAAGGACGCUCUUGUGAAAGAGCCGCAGAUAAUAGGCCCAGGCGACUGUUUACCAAAAACACAUGGCUAUGCUAAUUCGCAAGAAGAUGUAUAUGGCCUGACACCUGCCCGGUGCCGGAAGGUUAAGAGGAGAGCUCAGAUGUAAGUCGAAGGUUUGAAUUGAAGCCCCGGUAAACGGCGGCCGUAACUAUAACGGUCCUAAGGUAGCGAAAUUCCUUGUCGGGUAAGUUCCGACCUGCACGAAUGGUGUAACGAUCUGGACACUGUCUCAACCGUGAGCUCGGUGAAAUUGUAGUCCCGGUGAUGAUGCCGGGUACCCGCAACGGGACGAAAAGACCCCGUGAACCUUUACUAUAGCUUAACGCUGAAUUUGGGUACACAAUGUGUAGGAUAGGCCGGAGGCUUUGAAGCGGGCACGCCAGUGUUCGUGGAGCCGACGUUGAAAUACGGCCCUUUGUGUAUUUGAGUUCUAACCCUGCGAAGGGGACACCGUUUGGUGGGUAGUUUGACUGGGGUGGUCGCCUCCAAAAGCGUAACGGAGGCUUCUAAAGGUGCCCUCAGACCGAUUGGUAACCGGUCGCAGAGUGUAAUGGCAUAAGGGCGCUUGACUGGGAGACAUACAAGUCGAUCAGGUAGGAAACUAGAGCAUAGUGAUCCGGUGGUUCCGCAUGGAA